UACGUAGGGUGCAAGCGUUGUCCGGAAUUAUUGGGCGUAAAGAGCUCGUAGGCGGUCAGUCGCGUCUGCUGUGAAAACUCGGGGCUUAACUCCGGGCCUGCAGUGGGUACGGGCUGACUAGAGUGCGGUAGGGGAGACUGGAAUUCCUGGUGUAGCGGUGAAAUGCGCAGAUAUCAGGAGGAACACCGGUGGCGAAGGCGGGUCUCUGGACAACACCUGACACUGAGGCACGAAAGCUAGGGGAGCAAACAGG
rnacentral:rRNA from 1 species